AAAGAUGAAGUGUACCACUUUCAGGUGGCAGGUUGUGAGUGCUUCUUAAGGGUUUCCUCAUGGAUGGCCUGCGAGGAAUGGAAAGUAAAAUGCCACCAUGUUGCUUUUCUUCAUCCCCUUCCUUCCUUUUCCAUUAGGAAGGAGCAGAGAUUUAAAAGGAGGAGGAAACUAGAAGUGUGGAUUUAAUGGAGAGAAAACUAGAAAGUGGAUGGAAGGGAGCAAAAUGUCAUAAGUGGCCUUACCUGGGACCAGAGAUGUGAAUGCCUGAAAACACCCCAGAAAAGAAUGAGGAAAAAUGGGAAGAAAAGAACCUCCAGGUUCAAGAAAGAACAUCUCCCCUUGUGAAGGCCUCAGCUAUUGAAAAUGUGGAAUCCAGGAAACUUCAUUUCUGUGAAACUAGACUAGAAAUGUCUUCAAGAGAAUUCUCAAAACACUCAAAUAUUACAGUUGCCAAGGAUCUUUGGGUGAAACAAACUGGUGUAAGACCAGUAUAAUGUCCAUUGUGUAGGGGAAGAAUGGCAGUUCAGUCUCCAAAUAGCAAAGCAAAACCAGUUUGGUGAGAAAGCAUCAAAGCAAGAGGCCUUCACACAGUUCUUUAGUAUUGAAGAACUUCAAGGAUUUAUUUAAAGAAAAGGUUACAAACAAAUGUGAAAAAGCCUGUAGCUUAAUUUCAGCUGUAUCUCAUGGCUGAAGAGAAAGACCAAAACAAACAGCCAUCUUUGGAGAGACAAAAUGGAGACUAACACUGGAAGAACAAAUUGGGGAGGAGUCCAGCACUUUUAUCCAUGACCCUAACCCCCCGCCACUGCAGUGGUAACUAUGAGACAUUACAGCUGAGAGCUGAUGCUGACAGGGUCCUAGCUCUAUACAUUGGUAUCUUCUUUAUUGAGCAUUCCAGUCAGGACUAGCCUUAGGCCUGGGUGAGGUGGGCAGUUGCCCUUGGCACAUAUCUGAAAGAGGCACUGAGCUGAGCUUGUGACCUAUUAAACACUGAUAAACUAAGUUUAAUGGGGGUGCGCUGAAAGCUCUGCCUCUCCAGGACAUUUUUUAUCCUAGGGCCAGCCCUGAUUUCAGUAAUCAAAAGUGAUAAACACUAAUUUUGCUGGCUUGCUUGCAUUUCAACAAGGUAACUGUUGAAUCAUUCAUGAUGAAGAAAAACAAAAUGUCGCAUGAACAACUAUUAUACUGCAUAUGUAUUUUUAAUAUGUAAUUCUCAGCAUAGCCUUGGAUUACAUGCAGGUUAAAUUUCCCUUGCUGAUUUAUAAAUAUAAUCUAAACUCAACACAAAGUUAAUGAUAUAGCAAUGUCGAAUUGUUCUGUAGCAAGCUAAAGACCUCACAGUACCUCAACGCUCUAAGUUCAUUUUGAUGUGAUCAUCUAGGCACUAUGCAGAGAUUAUAGUUUUAUUGUCUUUUCCCCCCUAUGAAUACAUAAAUGAAUAAUAAGUUAAACAAAUAAGAAUUUCCUACUGGGUAUGUCAAACAAAUCAUUAUGUAUGGUGUUUUGAAUUUCAGUCAAUCAUUCUCAACACUAUUCAUCCCACUAUGGUGUCUGUUUUAACUAAGUCAGCAUUCGGAACUGUUAAAAAUGGACUUGAGCAGAAUGGCUAAGACCAGAAAAUACAAAAAUCCUUCAU